GAACUGCGAUAAGUAAUGUGAAUUGCAGAAUUCAGUGAAUCAUCGAGUCUUUGAACGCACAUUGCGCCCCCUGGCAUUCCGGGGGGCAUGCCUGUCCGAGCGUCAUUGCUGCCCUUCAAGCCCGGCUUGUGUGUUGGGUCGUCGUCCCCUCCGGGGGACGGGCCCGAAAGGCAGCGGCGGCACCGCGUCCGGUCCUCGAGCGUAUGGGGCUUUGUCACCCGCUCGAUAAGGACCGGCCGGGCGCCAGCCGGCGUCUCCAACCUUUUUUUUUCAGGUUGACCUCGGAUCAGGUAGGGAUACCCGCUGAACUUAAGC
rnacentral:misc_RNA from 1 species